GACGUAGGGCGCGAGCGUUGUCCGGAUUUAUUGGGCGUAAAGAGCUCGUAGGCGGCUUGUCGCGUCGACCGUGAAAACUCGGGGCUUAACUCCGGGCUUGCAGUGGGUACGGGCAGACUAGAGUGCGGUAGGGGAGACUGGAAUUCCUGGUGUAGCGGUGAAAUGCGUAGAUAUCGGGAGGAACACCAGUGGCGAAGGCGACUUCCUGGCCUGUUCUUGACGCUGGGCGC
rnacentral:rRNA from 1 species